rnacentral:lncRNA from 1 species
AUGGCGGGUCACAGUGACCCACCAGCCGAGUGGGCGAGAAAACUUCGCCGCUUCGAGACAGUUUCCCGAGUUCAUUGUCAGUAGUGCAAAUCUCACUCAGUGAUGCAUUUGAAGGUCCUUUUCGCGUUGGUGAUUUUGUUUGCCGUUAGGUUCCGGGUGGCGGCGACCUCCUCGAGCGACGAGCGGACGAGAGAGCGGCAGAACGGAUUCAAAGGGAAGAACUACUCUCUGGGGGCGCCCAAUUCCAACUCGCGGAAGCUCCAACGCGAGGAGUCGACCAGCGGAGAGAGCGAGGAGAACGAGAAAGACACCCGUGACCGGGCCCAACUCCCGGCCCCUGCUCACUCGCACAGGGGUCACCGACACCCCCUUGGGCCCGCCGGCGCUGGGGGAGGUGUAGGAGGAGGCGGAGGGGGUGGCGCCCCUUUCUCCCAGUAUAGCUACGGAUACUCGAUCCCCGACCAUGAGUUCGACCACAACCAGAAUCAAGGCCGGUACCAUAAUGAGGGUUCGCAAAACUACCAGCGGCCGACCCCACCUCAGCAUUUCUUCCACCACAGCCCUUACGACCGGUUCCAGCAGUACGACUACGACGCGGAGCGAGAGCGGGCGGCCAAGUCGGGACCUGAAGCGCCGCCACCCCCGCGGGCCCACCAACCCCACCACCCCCACCAGGGCCACCAGGGCGUCCCUGCCUUGCGGCACGUGAUCCCGGUGGCGCGGCUGGCGUCGCCGUUCUCGUACCCGCUGGGCUACUCGCCGCCGGUGACGCCCUUCGGGUUCCUCCCCCACUUGGCGCCCCCGAUCACCUACCUGGCCCAACCGACGCCCGUCAUCUCCCAGUCCGUCCCGGCCGUCGUCGCCUCCGCCACACACGGCGCCCAGAUCGCCCUCCCCGUCGCCCACGCCGGCGUCGCUGACGUCCCCUACCACGUCACCACCGCCGGGGACGAGACCCAGCUCCAAGCCCACCAACAGUGAGCGUCGUGCGAGGAUAAAACUUCCGGUAAAAUUGAGAGAAAUUAAGUUUUUGAUGUAACCGGAGUAGUCAUAUUGAUACAGCUUUCCCGGGACUUCAAGAGGAAACAUUGCUGAUACUCCGAUAUUUACCUGACUUACAAUGGAGACGUUGCAUGUGUUAGGAAUUUGCGAUUUGACAAUUGAUUCUUAUGUAAAAGUUCGCGAGAAACACGAUGGUGCCACUGGUUUUCUCUGAUAUUAACUCCCAAGAUCAAAAAAGCUCUCAGUUGAGGCCAAAAUGGAGGGGAUAUCCCACGCUACCCCGAGAGUCCACCUCUACAUUAAGACAAUCUCUGCAUGCAAAGAUAAGGGGUUCUCAGACGAUCAAUAUGAGCUAUCAAUAUCUCAUCAAUAUAGAGCGGCGCCGCUCUAUAUUGAUGCCUCGAAGAGCUGUGAUUGGUCGUACAAGCUGCGCGCGCAUUAUGACCUUGAUAUAUUGAUAGCUCAUAUUGAUUGUCUAAGAACCCCUAAUGGGAGCAAUACAUUGACAGGGCUGCCACUUUAUUUGGGACCUCAAAUUGAAAUCACGGCAACCCGGUCAGUGUAUUAGCUCCCUAUCUUUGCAUGGAGAUUUUGUCUUGAUGUAAAGGUGGACUCUCAGGAUAGCGUGGGAUAUCCCCUCCAUUUUGGCUUCAACUUGAGACUUUUUUGAGCUUGGGAGUCGAUUUCAGAGAAAACCAGUGGCACCAUCGUGUUUCUCGCGAACUUUUACGUAAGUAAAAGUUCCUCACACAUGCAAAAUCUCCAUUGGAAGAACUCGGUCAUCAACGGUGUAUUGAAGCUAUCAACGUUUCAUCGUGGUAACAGGAAAUCUGUUGGCAUGAAAUUCGGGUUUUUAAAAAUUAAAUAUUUCCUCUGCGGCAUGAUUUUGGAAAUUUUCAUUAGUUUUUCUUUUUUUUUGAACCACUAAUUCCCAAAAAUUCAAAAUUUUGAAAAAAAUUGGUACUCCAUGUUUUUCAUGCUGGCUACAUGCUACCAAAUAGAUUAGUGUCCCCCAGAAUCUAAGAUCCAAAAUUAAUUCAUGCCAUGGAGGGUAGUCCAAACUUUCUGAGUACCUCAACCAUUAUUCGAGUUAUAUAAAUACGUAAACCAAUCAAAUGAAUUCUUACGAUGGAAUCGUUAAAAGUUACGACUUAAUCCUCUGAAUCGAAAUUUAGCUUGGGGGUCAAGACAAUUUGUCUCAUUGUCAGUGCAAGAUAGGAUUUUAUCUUCAGUACUUCGUAAGGAACGACAAAGUUUCAAGUCCAUACAACCAACAUUCCAGUCGUAAAAUCGAACCUAGGUUCAGAUAUCCUAAGUUUUCGAUGCAAACGAGCCUAGAAAAGACGAGCAGAAACUCUAGUUACAUGCGCUAAAACCCACAACCUUCAACCGAAAAGUUCGAUUACCUGGACUGAAAACUGUUAUUUCAUACGGACUAAAGUUUCAUUUUAUUUUAUUGUUUUUUUUUUCGAAUAAACCGAAGAAUGUGUCAUAGCUGUAACACAUCACAAAAAGCCGUGCAAAAUCCAUGCCUCAAAUAUAUAAUCCGCUCUGGUUUUUGGGAGGUUUCAAUACUUUAGGGGAGGGGAUGUGUGUCCAACUUUCAAUGUUGAUCCAACUCUGGUUAUAGGCUUAUAGUUAUACGGUUUGAAAUAUUGUAAAUGAAUGUUGCUUCAUACGAACCCUAUUUUUCUUUUUGGGUAAUAAAAAAUUUUCAAGUAAGAAAAAACAACUUAAUUUUACGUCAAUUAACACUAAUCAAUGGGGCACGUCCAAUUUAAGGGCUAGCGAAGACAAGCUAUGCGGGCAUUCCUUGUUAAUCCAGACAAACAGAGCAGAUCCUCCCUUCGUUUAAAAAAAUGAACGAAUCAAUACUUAAAAAUGUGAUAAAACUUGACUACAAAAGUUUCAAAGGAUUUACGUAAACACACUUGCACUUAAAAGCACUGCGUUAUCCUUUAAAGGCAAAAACAGAAUCCCAAUCAAUUCACCAGCCGCGUCUAGGGUGUAGAUAAAAGGAUAAAUACAUUCAUCUCGCUCUGUUAACUCCAAAUUCAGCUUGAACCGGAGGGCACGAGGCCAUUGAUAAGCUAAAAUGACUGAUUGUUCUCAACUUGAACCAGCAUCGCAAAACAUUGUAGCGACUUCCAAUAGAGGAAGCAAGAAGCCAUGAGAACGGCUCGCGUUCCUAAAACAGCGUUCCAUAGCGGAAUUUCUUCGAUGAAAUUUCAUAUUUUGCAAGGCGCGUUUCAGGGCGGCGAAGAGUGAGUGUGAACUGUAACGAAACGAGGAACCGCUGCUGCGUAUAUCAUUAGUUUUUAUUGGCGCGGUUACGCGCGGACGCCGAACAUCCGCCGAACUCCCCGUCGCACAGUGCACUAAACCAUCGGAGUAGGUUUUUUUUUUUUUUUUUUUUAAUGAUUCUUACCCAUGGUGGUGACAAAAAUGAGUUCCUUCACACCCCAAUCCAUUCGAGGCACGAGAGAAAGCGAUUGGGAGAAGUUGAACGUAACAUUUUUGACUAAACUGCAAAUUUUAAUGUUUAUUUCGUCACUCUAUGACUCACAAAGAAUGUUUAUUCAAUUGUGACAAUGUUGAUCAACCAAUAUUAAUAAAAUGGUGACUGGAGAUAAUUUUUAGCGUUCUUUUCAUUUUUGACCUUCAAAGAAAGGAAAACUCAUUUUGAGGGAGGUUUGCGGAGGUAUUGAACCUAAACGAGGCCAAAAUUAUUGUUUUUAGCGACAAAAAUUGAUUUUGAUGGCACCACUUCAGUCAGCGUUGAAAAUAUUGAGAAAUGUACCUUACGGUUUUUCGUAUGACUCAUUGUUUUUUAUGCAAUGAGGACUAUGAUAGGGGCCUAUACUGGAGAGAUAAUAGGGGAUAACAGGGAAAUCCCCAGGGAAAGCGUUUUGGGAAAUAAAGUUUUACCACAUAAACGUCUUUUUUUGACCCAAAGAAUUGACUCCAUCAAUAUUCGUGAUUAAUCCUGGGACACCCUGUAUUCUUUUACCCUCAGCUAUGAAUCCUCUGGAUCGUUUGUAAGAAUCCAGUUCCAAAGUAUACUGCUGAAUUUUAUGUUCAAGGCUUCCUUACAACUCCCUUGAUCCCGAUGCAAACCAUGUAUAACCAUGUCAACCAUAUAAACUAUGUGCAACCAUGUAAUAAGAAAAGGAUCCGUUUAAGGAACGACUACAAAUCUAAGUUUCGUUUUAACGAAGAUCUGAGCUUUUAAAACUUCCAAAUCAUGUCCUAUCUCUUUCAUUGCCUUUCCACUGUGCGUCGGCUCGCGCCCAGUACGCGAUUCGGUCGCGAGGUGGCGCGCGCGUCGUCGCGUCGCGCGGCCAACGAUCCAAAGGUAAAAGCACUUAUCUUUCGCCACGCUGAGAUAUGAUAUUCGGUAAUGGGUCUUACUCAAACCCCGGCCGGGCGCCGAAUCGCAAAUCCCUCGAUUAGAUAAUCGCAAUUAGAGUCGCCCUCAUGAGAAAAUUGCGGGCCGUUGCACUGCGUUGCCCCCGGCGACGCUCUCGCUACGUCAAAGUAUCGGUGCAGCUUCGGCAUUCCAUCAUACUGUCGUCGAACUGGGGAGAACCGUAAGUGGAAAUAAGAAGUCGAGAAAAGGGAACUUAGGGUGCGGUACUUCAAGUCCCACUUCAAGCAAUUUCUUAACUUAGAAAGCCCCAUCCCCAUGAGGCAUGUUCGAUUGACGAUUAUCUAUAAGAAAUCGGAAAAUCGAUGAUCAGUAAUCGAAAUAUGAAGCUAGUCGAUCAAGCGCUUAGUUGGCGGCGAUAUAUUCGAUUAAUUGAUAAUCGGUAGUUAAUUGAUUUUUUUCGAAAUUUGCUAAAAAUAGCCAGUUUGAAGACUAAAAUAGCAGGAAUUUUGGAUUAAUUUGCGCGAAUAACGUUAUUAAGCAUAACCUCAAAUUUACGAUUAAUCGAAAACUGAGAAUUGAUUAGACUCAAACAGAUAACUGUUAAACGAAAGGCUCUAUUAAUGGAUUAAUCGAUUACUAAUGGAUAAUCGGAACAUGCCUCCUUCACGUUCUUACGUUGUGAUUAAGGGAAGUUUGAGGAUAUGCUCUUAUCAAAGCAUCAUAAAAGGUCAAUUUUUACGAAUUUCAUAUGAAAUGUACUAAAUUUUUAUUAAAGAUACGAGUAAAAUCGGGCUUUCCUGCCAGAUAUAUUCAAUUUAGGUACUUUAGUAUAGAAAGACACCGCAAAGUGAAGUCCGCACUUGACCGUCAUUGGCGGGUAAUUUUAUACGAUGCUUUAUCUUCGAUUUGAGCGAAAGGUUUUUUACGAAAAAGUAUAUUUUUGUAGUUUAGAGGAAUAUUUGGAUUAUUUUAAUAUUAUUUUUUAAUUUGCGGCGCAAUGUGUCUAUGCGCUUACAGUUAGACUAACGUGUUGUAAGGUUGUUUUGAUUUGUUACGCAACAUUAUUUCAUUGAAUGUAGUUUAAGUGUAUUUUUUAAGUUAAAAUUCCUGUGAUAAAUACAUUUUCGAGUACUUAAGACCAAUUUUACCACCAGUUUUUUCCUUCAUUUGAUGUAAACAUCAAGUGCCUGGGCGUUCCAGGGUGAUAUGAUCGGGCAUAACCUCUGGGGCCGAAUUUUGUCGGCUUUUUCACACGGAGUGCAACAGCCAUCGAUGAGUUCAAACCGCACCACCGGCCAAUCAGAAGCGCGAAACCGGCGACUUAAGUGCGGUCGAGACCCGUUCUAAGUAUACAUAUACAGUAUACAGUACGGUGUACGGCUGUAUAAAUACGGUGGAAGGACCGACAAAAUUCGGCCCCUGGAGUAAUAUUUCCUCUUCUUCUGCCGUGCUAAGGAAGAACGCC